GCAAAACCACUUCUUUCUUCUGAAUGGAAUACAAAACAUUGUUAACUAAUAUUUACGGAUGAGGAAUUUUUUCGUUAAAUUUUAUGAGUGAGAAAAAUGGGAUACUGCUGCUGAAAGCUUUUGAAGGGAAGGACAGGGUUCACAUCAUAGAUUUCGACAUCAAGCAAGAGCUGCAAUGGCCUAGUUUGUUUCAAAGUUUGGCGUCGAUGACCAAUCCUCUGAGCCAUGAUAGGAUCACGGGGAUAGGGGAGUCGAAGCAAGAGCUCAACGAGACGAGAGAUAGGCUUGCUGGAUUUGCUGAGGCACUGUAUCUGCCUUUCGAGUUUCACUCGGUUGUGGACAGGUUGGAGGAUGUGAGGGUUUGGAUGCUUGAUGUCAAGGAGCAUGAGAGUGUGGCUGUGCGUUGUGUUUUCCAACUGCACCAAACGCUUUAUGACACAAUAGGAGGAGCGCUGAGUGAUUUUUUGGGACUUGUUUGAAGUUCAAACUCGACAAUAGUUCUUAUGGCAGAGCAAGAGGCUGAACACAAUGAAGCUAGGCUGGAGACAAGAGUUUCCAACUCAUUGAAUUACUACUCUGCCAUAUUUAACUCGAUUGGUUCUAGCCUUUCCUUGGCGAGCCAGGCUUGGAUCAAAGUAGAGGAGAUGUUUGUGCGAACGUUGCUUGUGAAGGAAACGAUAGGUUGGAGAGGCACGAGAGCUUUGAGAAGUGGAGAAAGUUGAUGAAGUAAGGAGGGUUUCGAUGCGCAGGGAUAAUUGAGAGGGAAAUGCUUCAGAGCCAAUUUUUGUUAAGGAUGUAUGACAGUGAGAGUUACACCGUGAAGAAUCAAGAGCAAGACAGAGCAGCAGGGGCACUUACUUUAAGUUGGAUGGAUCAGCCUCUUUACAUAGUCUCAGCAUGGACACCAGUUGAUGUAGCAGGCAAUGUUGGAGAGUCGACCUUUUGUAAUUAGUUUAGUUACCUAUUUGGGUCCUUGUAAUCAUGAUGUAAUUAGGAUAGUUAUUUGAUGUUUCUUUCCUUGUAAAUAAUCCUUGUACGAUAUAUUUUCCUCCUUGGUGAGAAGAAUAAUAUUAGUGAAUCAAACCCCAAGAUAAGCCCCAAUUAGCAUGGUAUCAGAGCAGAGAUCCUAGGAUUUCUGCUUUGCCCGUUCCUUCAAACAAACUCGGCCCUCCCACGGAGAACCUACCUCCACUCCACGGUGGAAACAACCUCAUCCUAACCGAUCAUACCCCUAUACUAAACACUACUACCCUAACCGACCCUACCAUGAAUCAUACUCCACCUCUACAGUAAGUUGUUACACAAAUUGUUCAUCAUGAUUCUUCUACCUCUUCGAUUAGCAUCAAACUCAAUGGUGCCAAUUAUGGAGUUUGGUCUCAAAUUGUUGAGAUGUUCAUUGUUGGAAAAGACAAGUUGGGCUACUUGUUUGGAAGUAAUCCCCAACCACCUAACGAUGAUACGGCCUUCACCAAAUGGCGUACGAAGAAUGCCAUUGUGAAGGGUUGGCUCAUCAAUUCUAUGGAACCCAAUUUGAUUGGGUAUUUUCUUCGACUACCGACGACAAAAGAAGUGUGGGACGUAGUUGCUCGCACAUAUUAUGACGGCUCUGAUAUAUCUCAAGUUUACGAUCUUACCUGCAAGGCUUUUUGCAUAAGGCAAGACAGACGACCGAUGGAGACAUACUAUAAUGAUCUUUAGUCUUUAUAGCAAGAGAUUGAUUAUCGUCGACCCAAUCUAAUGAAGUACAGUACUGAUAUUGAAAUUUAUAAUAAAAUUGUUCAAACGGAUCGUGUGUAUACUUUGCUUGCAGGAUUGGAUGAGAUAUUUGAUAAAAUUCAUAGUGAUAUUCUACGAACUGAGCCUCUUCCUUCCGUCCAACAAACAUUUGCCUAUGUUCGCCGAGAAGGAAUGCGACAUGCUAUUAUGAAUACCGGAGGAUAGCUGCCUAGUGGGGCAGCGAUGGUGGCUCUACCUGCAGCAUGAGUUGCGGUUCUAUCUAGUCCCCGCGCUCCUAAGAAGUCACUUGCACUAAGCCCAAGACUGCAACCUCAGGCUACUGCCACAACCCCAUCAUAAGGCUUUCUCUUCAUUGCCAAGAUUGCCUCACGACCCACCUUAGGCCCUCACCCUCCUCGUUCCAAACCACCUGUCCUAAUUGGUGGUUGUACUGACUGUGGUAGUGAGAAGCACGGCUACAACAAUUUUUUUUCAGUUGCUCCACUAUCUUGACUAGUAGGAACCAUUGAAGCUUCAGAAACAACGGGAACGAGACGUGCAAGCCAAGCUGGUCAAGCCAAUCUUUCCACCUUUGUGUCCCAACUAUCUUUGAUAUCUCAAGAUGAUUCUCCUCCUGUUUCGAGUUCUUCCGACAUGCUUUCGGAGUCCUUAGGUAACUAUGGUUAUGCUUUUAAUAUGAAUCAUGAUGAUACUCUGUCCAGUUGGAUCAUUGACUCCGAUGCCACGUACCAUAUGACCUAUAACCCCAUUGAUUUAGCUUGUAAUACUGUUCCGCUUCGACGUAAUAUUACUAAUGCUAAUGGUGUCACUUCACCGGUCAUGGGUGCUAGCACUGUACGUUUCACGCCCACCCACUCUUUGCCUCAUACAUUACUUGUACCUUCACUAAAGCAUAAAUUGAUGUUUCUUGACCAAGCUAUUAAGCAAUUGAACUAUUGUGUACUAAUGUAUAUGAAGUUUUGUCUUAUUCAGGAUAUUCUCAUAAAUGAGAUAAUUGAUUGUGGUACUAAAAUGGGGGAUCUCUAUUUUAUAGAUGAUGUCAAUACAGGACGAGUCAAUCUCGCCUAAGAAGCCAGUGAUCACAAGCGACGUUAGAUAUGGUUAUGGCAUCACCUUUUGGGUCAUCUGUCUUUCAGUAAUUUACAACAUAUGUUUCUGGAUUUAUUUGUUAGUUGUUCAAUUUUAGACUUUAAAUGUGACACUUGCAUUCUUGCCAAGAGUCAUCGUGUUUCUUAUCCGUUGAAUUCUAAUAAAAGUGUUAUUCCUUUUGGUCUUGUUCAUUCGGAUGCUUGGGGAUCAUCUUCGAUUACUACUUCAUCUGGUAUUUAGUGGUUUGUUACUUUCAUAGAUGAUUGCACACGGAUGACAUAGUUGUACCUUCUUAAGCAUAAAAGUGAUGUGUUUUUGGCCUUUAAGACAUUCCACACCAUGGUUUAGACAUAAUUUUCUACUAAAAUCCGGAUUUUGCAUUCUGAUAAUGGCGGUGAAUAUGUUAAUAAUGAUUUUACACAUUAUUUAACUAAUCACGGAAUCCUCCACGAGACUACUUGUCCUCAGACUCCUCUAAAGAAUGAGGUGGUUGAGCGCAAAAACCGCCAUCUUUAGAAAUGGCUCGCCCAAUUUUGAUUGGGGCGCAUGUUCCCUGCACUUCUUGGGAUGUUGCUCUUCAGACGACCAUUUACCUCCUUAUCAACCGCAUGUCAUCCAAAGUAUUUGAUUUUCUUACACCUUUACAAGUUCUUGCUAACUUCAUGCUUCUACCAUCAAUUUUGGUACUCCGACCACGAGUUUUUGGAUGUGUUACAUUUGUUCAUCUACAUAAAAAUCAAUAGACGAAACUUGACCCGUGUGUUUUCCGUUGUAUUUUUAUGGGAUAUGGAUUACAUCAGAAAGGGUACUUUUGAUACCACCAUCCUUUCCGUUGGAUGUAUACUACCAUGGAUGUUACUUUUUUCCAAGUCUGAGAUGUAUUACUUUUCAGCUUUUUCCAACCCUACUCUACAGGGGAAGACAUUGCAUGAUGAGCAGGUUUGGACCAAGGCUGCUACGACUAAUCUUCUACUGCCACUAUUAGCCUAGCCUGCAGUGGCCGCACUGCCAGCCCAACUAACAGAAGCAGCAUUGCUGCCCACAGAAGUAUUGAUAGGCACGGCAAUGCCAUCCUCACCGACAGCAACAGUGCUUCCACUUGCCAAUCUUGAGACUUCUACUGAUACUACUCCCCUCUACCUCCAAAUAUAGUACCACCAGAUGACCAAACUCUUAAGAAUAUUCCUAAGGUAAGCUCUAUUAUCCCUAUUGAUGUAUCUAAUGUUCUGACUUAUCAGUUACCUUUCAGGCACAAUGGGGGAAAGCCACUCAAUCGGUAUUCACCGGAAACAACGAAAGGUUUUAAAACCCCAUUGCCAACUAUAUGUCAUCACAUAAAAUUAUCAGAACCUGGUAAAGCAUUUGUACAACAAAUAUCCAAUGAUAGCAAAACUAGUUCAUUGAAGGAGCCCCUAUCUGACAAUCGAUGAACCGCAAUGGAGGAAGAAAUGAAUGCACUUCAAAAGAAUCAAACAAGGGAUUUAGUUCCGCUACCCCGAGGAAAGAAGAAAGUUGGAUGUCGAUGGGUGUAUAUCAUCAAGUACAAAGCUGAUGGGUCUAUUGAACGAUACAAAGCAUGAUUGGUGGCCAAGGGAUACACUUAGAUGUAUGGUGUUGAUUAUAUAGAAACAUUUGCCCCGGUAGCAUAGAUUAAUACGGUAAGAGUAUUACUUUCAUUGACGGCUAACUUGGAUUGGCCAUUACAGCAAUUUGAUGUGAAAAAUGCUUUCUUACAUGGUAAUCUUAAAGAAGAAGUGUAUAUGGAUAUUCCAUCUGGUUAUGCAUCAAUUUCACAACCUGGAGUGGUGUGCAAGUUGAAUAAAGCAUUGUAUGGAUUGAAACAAUCACCUCACGCAUGGUUUGGUAGGUUCCGAAGAGCUAUGAGGAAGUAUGGGUUCAGGCAGAGUAAUUUCGAUCAUACACUUUUCUUGAAAUGUCGAAUGGGUAAAUUGACCGCACUUAUUAUUUAUGUGGAUGAUAUGAUUGUUACGGGUGAUGAUAAAGAGGAAAACUCAAGGCUAAAAGAUUACCUAGCAACCAAGUUCGAGAUGAAAGAUCUUGGUGGAUUGAAAUGUUUCUUGGGGAUAGAAGUAGCUCAAUCUAAACAAGGCAUAUUUCUAUCUCAAAGAAAAUAUGUUCUAGACUUGUUAGCUGAAAUAGGAAUGCUUGAUUGUAAAUCGACUAUAGUCUAAAAUAACCAUCUUGUCGUGCAUCCUGAUCAAGUUCCCAUUAACAAAGAUCUUUAUCAAAGGUUAGUCGGGAGGUUAAUUUAUUUAUCUCACACCAGGCCUAAUAUUGCAUAUGUAGUGUCAUUAGUCAGUUUAUGCAUUCUCCGAGUGAUACACAUAUGGGUGUGGUUGAACGCAUCCUACGAUACCUAAAAUCCUCCUCUAGUAGAGGCAUCAUGUUUUCCAAGAAUGAUCAUUGCCAAAUAGAAGGUUAUACUGAUGCAGAUUUGGCAGGAAACAUUACUGAUCGACGAUCCACAUCUGGAUACUUUACAUUUGUAGGGGAAAUUUAGUGACCUCAUAGAGUAAGAAACAGAAAGUGGUUGCUUUAUCAAGUGUAGAGGCGGAAUAUAGGGGCAUGGCAAAAGGAGUAUGUGAACUAUUAUGGCUUCGGAGGUUACUUGUUGAGCUCAGUUGUUCUUCAAAGUCGGCCUCAGAUUUGUUUUGUGAUAAUAAAGCAACUAUUGAUAUCUCACACAACCCAAUCCAGCAUGAUCGCACGAAACAUGUGGAAGUUGACAGACACUUCAUUAAGGAGAAGUUGGAUAGGAAUAUCAUUCAAUUCCCAUUCGUAAAGUCAGAGGAUCAAUUGGCGGACAUCUUAACUAAAGUUGUUGCGAGUCAAGCGUUCUACAACUCUCUCUUCAAGUUGGGCAUGAACGAUAUUUAUGCACCAACUUGAAGGGGAGUGUUGGAGAGUUGACCUUUUGUAAUUAGUUUAGUUACCUGUUUGGGUCCUUGUAAUCAAGAUGUAAUUAGGAUAGUUAUUUGAU
rnacentral:lncRNA from 1 species